CGGCGUGCUUACACAUGCAAGUCGAACGAACCUUCGGGUUAGUGGCGGACGGGUGAGUAACGCGUGAGAAUCUGCCCUCAGGAGGGGGACAACAGCUGGAAACGGCUGCUAAUACCCCAUAUGCCGCGAGGUGAAAUGAAUUUCGCCUGAGGAUGAGCUCGCGUCUGAUUAGCUAGUUGGUGUAGGUAAUGGCUCACCAAGGCAUCGAUCAGUAGCUGGUCUGAGAGGAUGAUCAGCCACACUGGGACUGAGACACGGCCCAGACUCCUACGGGAGGCAGCAGUGGGGAAUUUUCCGCAAUGGGCGAAAGCCUGACGGAGCAACGCCGCGUGAGGGAUGAAGGCCUCUGGGCUGUAAACCUCUUUUAUCAAGGAAGAAGAUCUGACGGUACUUGAUGAAUAAGCCACGGCUAAUUCCGUGCCAGCAGCCGCGGUAAUACGGGAGUGGCAAGCGUUAUCCGGAAUUAUUGGGCGUAAAGCGUCCGCAGGCGGCCCUUCAAGUCUGCUGUUAAAAAGUGGAGCUUAACUCCAUCAUGGCAGUGGAAACUGGUGGGCUUGAGUGUGGUANGGGCAGAGGGAAUUCCCGGUGUA
rnacentral:rRNA from 1 species